rnacentral:rRNA from 1 species
GCAAGUCGAACGGAAGCGUUACAAUAGAAGCUGAUUGAAGAUUAUCAGAUUGAAGUGGAAAUUGUAACAAUGGCUUAGUGGCGGACUGGUGAGUAACACGUAAAGCAACCUACCUAUGAGAGGGGAAUAACAGUGAGAAAUCAUUGCUAAUACCGCAUAAGCUUGUAAUAUUGCAUGAUAUAGCAAGAAAAGGAGCAGUCCGCUCAUAGAUGGGCUUGCGGCUGAUUAGCUAGUUGGUGUGGUAACGGCAUACCAAGGCAACGAUCAGUAGCCGAGCUGAGAGGCUCAUCGGCCACAUUGGGACUGAGAUACGGCCCAGACUCCUACGGGAGGCAGCAGUCGGGAUAUUGCGCAAUGGAGGAAACUCCUGACGCAGUGACGCCGCGUAUAGGAAGAAGGUUUUAGGAUUGUAAACUAUUUUAGACAGGGAAGAAAAAAGACAGUACCUGUAGAAUAAGCUCCGGCUAACUACGUGCCAGCCGCUGC